UUCACACAAAUAAUGGCCAGUUAUUUGAUAACGAUAAAGCACAAUAACAAUUACUCAACAUGGAAAACAACAGAGAUCAAUAUGAAAUAAUAAGAAUUAGAUGUUCAUGAUAAGAGUACACCCUAAUCCUAGCAAAAGGACUUAGUUCAUGAUUAAACUAAUCACAAACAUGGAUGAAUUCGAUAACAUAAAGAAACCCCAAAACUCCAAUUCUGGAAUCGUAUGUGAUCAACCCCAAAACUGCCACCUUCUCUCCAGCGUUUUUCCACUGGAAGGCUGGAAUCCCCUUCUUUCCCCCCUUUGCGGCUGCUUCUCAUCUACUCCCCAGCAAUUAGAGAGGUCGGUUCCGUACACCCCCCAGUUGGACUUUUUUUCUUUUUUUUUUUUUUUUUUUUGGUCUUCUCCCCCUUUGCUUUUGUUCUCUAAUCCAUAUGAAGCCCAAAUUGGACUUAAUUUGAUAAAGCCCAAAUUCCAGCACCACUCUCACAUAG
rnacentral:lncRNA from 1 species